rnacentral:tRNA from 1 species
GGGUCGAUGGCGUAGCUGGUUAUCGUAUCUGUCUAACAUAUAAAUGUCACAGAAGGUCCUCAGUUCGAACCUGGGUCGACUCA